rnacentral:lncRNA from 1 species
AUGAAUAUAAGUUUAACACACUUUGCAAACACACUCAUUGAUAAAGAAUUAAUCCGGGUAACAAGCUUAUUUUUCAUGAAUGAAAAACAUUGUGACAUCGUCACAUGCCAACAUGAGGCAUCAACUUUAUUUCCCUAAGAUAAGACACUCGAAGACAUACAAAAUAAUCCUAAAAGUUUGCAGCAAACUGAAUCACAAGUCAGGAGGAACAUGAAUGUGGUUAUGAUAGUUAUCAUCGACCUAGAGCCGCACAAACUCUUGAAUAGCAGCC